CCUAGAUCAUGGAAAGUACAUGCUGAAGUAAUCCUAAAAUGUCCUUCCAAAUCCAAAAUGUGGGUUUCAGUGAAAGGGGAGAGAGGUGCAGAAACAGUGAAAAGAAAAUAGCAGGAGACCUUCUACAUGUAGCAUGUGGAGCAGAGUCAAGGCAGCUCCACAGACUGAAAGUCUUUCUCUGCAACUGAAGAUCUAAAAAGCUAGCACCUGACUACAAAGUUAAAGGUAGUUUUCCUUAUGUUUUACCACAAGUAAAUCAAGAAAUCUGGAUCUGGGUCUGAACUCUAGCUUUAAACUUGCCCAGAAGAGUAUUACUACACCCAUAGUUGUUGAUGUACUUCCCUGGAU
rnacentral:lncRNA from 1 species